UACGUAGGUGACAAGCGUUGUCCGGAUUUACUGGGCGUAAAGAGCGCGCAGGCGGUCGUUCAAGUCGAGUGUGAAAGCCCCCGGCUCAACUGGGGAGGGUCACUCGAUACUGAUCGACUCGAAGGCAGGAGAGGGUAGUGGAAUUCCCGGUGUAGUGGUGAAAUGCGUAGAUAUCGGGAGGAAUACCGAUGGCGAAGGCAGCCUCCUGGGCCAACACUGACGCUCAUGCACGAAAGCGUGGGGAGCAAACAGG
rnacentral:rRNA from 1 species